UCAUACGUCUAAAUUAUUAUAGUAACUAGAUAUCAUUGAGAUGGGAGCCAUCUCUGUGGGCCCCGCUGUGAAUAAUGUGCAUUAAAAAAUUGUAUUUUUUUACCAUGGACAUGGGUUUGUCAACUGAAAUCAAAGUUUUUGACCUUGACCUUUGACCUAUGAAGUUGUAAAUAAAUUAUGACACACCCUUUGGUGUUGGUUUAUAAACAUGUCAAGUAUAAACUUUGAAAUGAUAAAGGUUCUCAAGAUAUAGAGCGGACACGAUCUUUACCAUAGGACAUGGGGUUGUCAACUGAAACCAAAGUUUUUGACCUUGACCUUUGACCUAGGAAGUUGCACAUAAAUUUUGACACACCCUUUGGUGUUGGUUUAUAUACAUGUCAAGUAUAAACUUUGAAAUGAUAAUGGUUCUCAAGAUAUAGAGCGGACACAAUCUUUAACCAAUAGGACAUGGGGUUGUCAACUGAAACCAAAGUUUUUGACCUUGAACUAUGCCCUAGGCAGUCGUUCAUAAAUUAUGACACGCCCUCUGGUGUUGGUUCAUAUACAUGUCAAGUAUAAACUUUGAAAUCAUAACGGUUCUC
rnacentral:lncRNA from 1 species